rnacentral:rRNA from 1 species
AGUCGAGCGGUAGAGAGGUGCUUGCACCUCUUGAGAGCGGCGGACGGGUGAGUAAAGCCUAGGAAUCUGCCUGGUAGUGGGGGAUAACGCUCGGAAACGGACGCUAAUACCGCAUACGUCCUACGGGAGAAAGCAGGGGACCUUCGGGCCUUGCGCUAUCAGAUGAGCCUAGGUCGGAUUAGCUAGUUGGUGAGGUAAUGGCUCACCAAGGCGACGAUCCGUAACUGGUCUGAGAGGAUGAUCAGUCACACUGGAACUGAGACACGGUCCAGACUCCUACGGGAGGCAGCAGUGGGGAAUAUUGGACAAUGGGCGAAAGCCUGAUCCAGCCAUGCCGCGUGUGUGAAGAAGGUCUUCGGAUUGUAAAGCACUUUAAGUUGGGAGGAAGGGCAUUAACCUAAUACGUUAGUGUUUUGACGUUACCGACAGAAUAAGCACCGGCUAACUCUGUGCCAGCAGCCGCGGUAAUACAGAGGGUGCAAGCGUUAAUCGGAAUUACUGGGCGUAAAGCGCGCGUAGGUGGUUCGUUAAGUUGGAUGUGAAAUCCCCGGGCUCAACCUGGGAACU